CCUACGGGUGGCAGCAGUGGGGGAUAUUGCACAAUGGGGGAAACCCUGAUGCAGCGACGCCGCGUGGGUGAAGAAGUAUCUCGGUAUGUAAAGCUCUAUCAGCAGGGAAGAAAAUGACGGUACCUGAUGAAGAAGCCCCGGCUAACUACGUGCCAGCAGCCGCGGUAAUACGUAGGGGGCAAGCGUUAUCCGGAUUUACUGGGUGUAAAGGGGGCGUAGACGGCGGCGCAAGCCAGGAGUGAAAGGCCGGGGCUCAACCCCGGAACUGCUUUGGAAACUGUGCAGCUGGAGUGCAGGAGAGGUAAGUGGAAUUCCUGGUGUAGCGGUGAAAUGCGUAGAUAUUAGGAGGAACACCAGUGGCGAAGGCGGCUUACUGGACUGUAACUGACGUUGAGGCUCGAAAGCGUGGGGAGCAAACAGGAUUAGAUACCCUAGUAGUC
rnacentral:rRNA from 1 species